rnacentral:rRNA from 1 species
CCUACGGGAGGCAGCAGUGAGGAAUAUUGGUCAAUGGGCGGGAGCCUGAACCAGCCAAGCCGCGUGAGGGAAGAAGGUACAGUGUAUCGUAAACCUCUUUUGUCAGGGAACAAAGGCGGGGACUAGUCCCCGGAUGAGGGUACCUGAAGAAAACGCAUCGGCUAACUCCGUGCCAGCAGCCGCGGUAAUACGGAGGAUGCGAGCGUUAUCCGGAUUUAUGGGGUUAAAGGGGUGCGCGGGCGGCCUGUUAAGUCAGCGGUAAAAGCCCGGGGCUCAACCCCGGCGAGCCGUUGAAACUGGCAGGCUGGAGUUGGAGAGAAGUACGUGGAAUGCGCGGUGUAGCGGUGAAAUGCUUAGAUAUCGCGCAGAACACCGAUUGCGAAGGCAGCGUACCGGCUCCACACUGACGCUGAGGCACGAAAGCGUGGGUAUCGAACAGGAUUAGAUACCCGGGUAGUC